UACGUAGGGGGCAAGCGUUGUCCGGAUUUAUUGGGCGUAAAGAGCGUGUAGGCGGCCAUACAGGUCAGCUGUGAAAACUCGAGGCUCAACCUCGAGACGUCGGUUGAAACCGUAUGGCUAGAGUCCGGAAGAGGAGAGUGGAAUUCCUGGUGUAGCGGUGAAAUGCGCAGAUAUCAGGAAGAACACCUAUGGCGAAAGCAGCUCUCUGGGACGGUACUGACGCUGAGACGCGAAAGCGUGGGGAGCGAACAGG
rnacentral:rRNA from 1 species